GAUGAAGAACGCAGCGAAAUGCGAUAAGUAGUGUGAAUUGCAGAAUUCAGUGAAUCAUCGAAUCUUUGAACGCACAUUGCGCCCCUUGGUAUUCCAUGGGGCAUGCCUGUUCGAGCGUCAUUUGUACCUUCAAGCUCUUCUUGGUGUUGGGUGAUUGUCUAUCUUUGUAGACUCGCCUUAAAGUCAUUGGCAGCCGGCAUAUUGGCCUGGGAGCGCAGCACAAGUCGCGCUUCUUGUCAUGAAUGUUGGCGUCCAGUAAGUCUACAUAUUUUGCUCUUGACCUCGGAUCAGGUAGGGAUACCCGCUGAACUUAAGCAUAUCAAUAAGCGGAGGA
rnacentral:misc_RNA from 1 species